rnacentral:rRNA from 1 species
GGAGGGUGCAAGCGUUAUCCGGAUUUAUGGGUUUAAAGGGUCCGUAGGCGGAUCUGUAAGUCGGUGGUGAAAUCUCACAGCUUAACUGUGAAACUGCCAUUGAUACUGCAGGUCUUGAGUGUUAUUGAAGUAGCUGGAAUAAGUAGUGUAGCGGUGAAAUGCAUAGAUAUUACUUAGAACACCAAUUGCGAAGGCAGGUUACUAAGCAACAACUGACGCUGAUGGACGAAAGCGUGGGGAGCGAACAGGAUUAGAUACCCUGGUAGUCCACGCCGUAAACGAUGCUAACUCGUUUUGGGUUUUCGGAUUCAGAGACUAAGCGAAAGUGAUAAGUUAGCCACCUGGGGAGUACGAACGCAAAGUUUGA